CUUAGAAGCAGCCACUCAUUUAAAGAGUGCGUAAUAGCUCACUAGUCGAGUGAGUCUGCGCCGAAAAUUCUCGGGGCUAAACCAUGUACCGAAGUUGCGGAUGUGAGCGGAUUUUAUUGAUAGUUCAUCAAAAGGGAAGAGAAUUUGGUGGCGAAGCCACUAAAUUCGAUUAAGUUAAAGUACGUACCGAAGUCAUGAGAGGUAGUAUUUUCUGAUGAUGAAAAAAAGAUGAGCUAUGAAUAAAAUCUGCUCACGUGGUAGAGGAGCUUAGCAUACGGAGUGAAGCAUGAUCGAGAGGACAUGUGGACUGUAUGGUAGUGAGAAUGCCGGAAUGAGUAGCGAGAGUGAAGUGAGAAUCUUUACCGCCGAAAAUCUAAGGUUUCCUGGGGAAGGCUCGUCCUCCCAGGGUCAGUCGGGGCCUAAGCUCAGGCCGAAAGGCGUAGGCGAUGGACAACAGGUUGAUAUUCCUGUACCACCGAUGUUCGUUAUUAGAGACGCGGGGACGCAGGGGGAUAGUUCGUGCCAGCUGCUGGAAUAGCUGGUCCAAGCGAGGUAGAUAGUCCUGUAGUAAAGUACGCAGGAUGUUUCGAAGGCGUGAUGGGGAGGGAAAUUAGAGUACCGAAGUGAAUGAUUCCGCACUGACGAGAAAAGCCGCUAUCGAGAACAAAGGUGCCCGUACCGCAAACCGACACAGGUAGAUGAGGAGAGAAUCCUAAGGCGAUCGGAAGAAAGGUUGUUAAGGAACUCGGCAAAUUGAUCCCGUAAGUUAGCAAGAAGGGAUGCCCGAGCCUAGGAGUGUUUACAUUUCUAGGGGAGGGCCGCAGAGAAAUGGCCCAGGCAACUGUUUAUCAAAAACACAGGUCUCUGCUAAAUCGAAAGAUGAAGUAUAGGGGCUGACGCCUGCCCGGUGCUGGAAGGUUACGGGGAUCUGUUAGCGCAAGCGAAGCAGUGAACUUAAGCCCCAGUAAACGGCGGCCGUAACUAUAACGGUCCUAAGGUAGCGAAAUUCCUUGUCAGGUAAGUUCUGACCCGCACGAAUGGCGUAAUGAUCUGGGCACUGUCUCGACAACCUAUCCGGUGAAAUUGUAGUACUCGUGAAGAUGCGAGUUACCCGCGACUAGACGGAAAGACCCCAUGGAGCUUUACUGUAGCCUGAUACUGUGUUUCGGUAUUUCAUGUACAGGAUAGGAGGGAGGCUUUGAAGCCAGGACGUCAGUUCUGGUGGAGCCAUCGUUGGGAUACCUCUCUUGGAGUACUGGAACACUAACCAGAACCCGUGAUCCGGGUUUGGGACAAUGUCAGGUGGGCAGUUUGACUGGGGCGGUCGCCUCCAAAAAGGUAACGGAGGCGCCCAAAGGUCUCCUCAGCACGGUUGGAAAUCGUGCAACGAGUGUAAAGGCAUAAGGAGGCUUAACUGCGAGACAAACAAGUCGAGCAGAUACGAAAGUAGGGCUUAGUGAUCCGGCGGUAUGAGAGUGGA
rnacentral:rRNA from 1 species